rnacentral:rRNA from 1 species
AUUGAACGCUGGCGGCAGGCUUAACACAUGCAAGUCGAGCGGGGGAAGGUAGCUUGCUACCGGACCUAGCGGCGGACGGGUGAGUAAUGCUUAGGAAUCUGCCUAUUAGUGGGGGACAACAUCUCGAAAGGGAUGCUAAUACCGCAUACGUCCUAAAGGAGAAAGCAGGGGAUCUUCGGACCUUGCGCUCAUAGAUGAGCCUAAGUCGGAUUAGCUAGUUGGUGGGGUAAAGGCCUACCAAGGCGACGAUCUGUAGCGGGUCUGAGAGGAUGAUCCGCCACACUGGGACUGAGACCCGGCCCAGACUCCUACGGGAGGCAGCAGUGGGGAAUAUUGGACAAUGGGGGGAACCCUGAUCCAGCCAUGCCGCGUGUGUGAAGAUGGCCUUAUGGUUGUAAAGCACUUUAAGCGAGGAGGAGGCUACUCUAGUUAAUACCUAGGGAUAGUGGACGUUACUCGCAGAAUAAGCACCGGCUAACUCUGUGCCAGCCGCCGCCGUAA